rnacentral:rRNA from 1 species
AUGGAUAUAGUUGGUCCAAUUCAUCCACCGUCCUCCAAAGGUCACAAAUUCAUUUUAGCAGCAACAGACUAUUUCUCCAAGUGGGCUGAACUUACACCACUAAAGGAAGACAAAGCAGAGAGUGUAGAACAUUUUAUAAGAACACAACUCAUUUAUCGCUUUGGCGUUCCUUCUCGGAUUAUGUCUGAUAAUGGAACUCCUUUUAAAAACAAACAAGUGGUGAAAUUAUGCUCAAAAUUUAAGAUAGACCAUCAUUAUUCCACGGCAUAUAAUCCAACCGCCAAUGGACAAGCAGAAGCUUUCAACAAAACUCUUUGCAAGUUACUAAAGAAAGUUGUAUCAAAAUAUAAGCGUGACAGGUAUGAAAAGCUUCUUGAAGCCUUGUGGGCUUAUAGAACCACAACACGCACGCCGACAGGAAUGACACCUUAUUCCCUAGUAUUUGGAGGUGAAGCAGCUCUACCUUUGGAGGUACAGAUCACGUCACUGAGAAUCGCUACACAUGAAAAUUUGUCGGAGGAAUAA